UUAAGUUCAGCGGGUAUCCCUACCUGAUCCGAGGUCAAACUUAAAAGAAGCUUAAUGGGAGGAGGCCUGCCAGAAUCGCGACGCAAUGUGCUGCGCACGAAGCCAACAUACCGGCUGCCAAUUGUUUUAAGGCGAGUCUACGCGCAAGGCGAGACAAACACCCAACACCAAGCAGAGCUUGAAGGUACAAAUGACGCUCG
rnacentral:misc_RNA from 1 species